GCAAUCUUAUUUUACAAUUACUAAUUUGAGACUCCUUUUGAAACCUUUAGAUGAAGUCACCGAGGAUUACUAGGUGGACACUCUAGAAAAAGAGAGGGAUCCUAGAAAUUUCAAAAAAAGCAAAACAUCUAACCAUCAAUCGGUACACUCAAAUCAUUAUAGCCAUUGGAUCUAUUAUGUUUUCUAAAAAAUUACCCACCUAUACCAUUAUAAAAAUAGUCUAAAAUAACAUCCUAAAUCUAU
rnacentral:lncRNA from 1 species